rnacentral:tRNA from 1 species
GGGCGAUUAGCUCAGUUGGUAGAGCAGCUGACUCUUAAUCAGCGGGUCCCGGGUUCGAGUCCCUGAUCGCCCA